CCUACGGGAGGCAGCAGUGGGGAAUAUUGCGCAAUGGGCGGAAGCCUGACGCAGCGACGCCGCGUGAGGGAUGACGGCCUUCGGGUUGUAAACCUCUUUCGACCCUGACGAAGCGUGAGUGACGGUAGGGGUAGAAGAAGCGCCGGCCAACUACGUGCCAGCAGCCGCGGUAAGACGUAGGGCGCAAGCGUUGUCCGGAUUUAUUGGGCGUAAAGAGCUCGUAGGCGGCGUGUCGCGUCGUCCGUGAAAACCUGCAGCUUAACUGUGGGCGUGCGGUCGAUACGGGCAUGCUAGAGGCAGGUAGGGGAGAUCGGAAUUCCUGGUGUAGCGGUGAAAUGCGCAGAUAUCAGGAGGAACACCGGUGGCGAAGGCGGAUCUCUGGGCCUGUUCUGACGCUGAGGAGCGAAAGCGUGGGGAGCGAACAGGAUUAGAUACCCCA
rnacentral:rRNA from 1 species